AACGAACGCUGGCGGCAUGCCUAACACAUGCAAGUCGAACGAGACCUUCGGGUCUAGUGGCGCACGGGUGCGUAACGCGUGGGAACCUUCCCUUAGGUUCGGAAUAACUCCCCGAAAGGGGUGCUAAUACCGGACAAUGUCUUCGGACCAAAGAUUUAUCGCCUUUGGAUGGGCCCGCGUUGGAUUAGCUAGUUGGUAGGGUAAAAGCCUACCAAGGCGACGAUCCAUAGCUGGUCUGAGAGGAUGAUCAGCCACACUGGGACUGAGACACGGCCCAGACUCCUACGGGAGGAAGCAGUGGGGAAUAUUGGACAAUGGGCGAAAGCCUGAUCCAGCAAUGCCGCGUGAGUGAUGAAGGCCUUAGGGUUGUAAAGCUCUUUUACCCGGGAUGAUAAUGACAGUACCGGGAGAAUAAGCUCCGGCUAACUCCGUG
rnacentral:rRNA from 1 species